rnacentral:rRNA from 1 species
CUAGUAACGGCGAGUGAAGCGGCAACAGCUCAAAUUUGAAAUCUGGCUUCGGCCCGAGUUGUAAUUUGCAGAGGAAGCUUUAGGCGCGGCACCAUCUGAGUCCCCUGGAACGGGGCGCCAUAGAGGGUGAGAGCCCCGUAUAGAUGGACGCUAAGCCUGUGUAAAGCUCCUUCGACGAGUCGAGUAGUUUGGGAAUGCUGCUCAAAAUGGGAGGUAAAUUUCUUCUAAAGCUAAAUACCGGCCAGAGACCGAUAGCGCACAAGUAGAGUGAUCGAAAGAUGAAAAGCACUUUGAAAAGAGGGUUAAAUAGCACGUGAAAUUGUUGAAAGGGAAGCGCUUGUGACCAGACUUGCGCCGGGCUGAUCAUCCGGUGUUCUCACCGGUGCACUCUGCCCGGCUCAGGCCAGCAUCGGUUCUCGCGGGGGGAUAAAGGCCCUGGGAACGUAGCUCCUCCGGGAGUGUUAUAGCCCAGGGUGUAAUGCCCUCGCGGGGACCGAGGUUCGCGCAUCUGCAAGGAUGCUGGCGUAAUGGUCAUCAGCGACCCGUCUUGAAACACGGACCAAGGAGUCAAGGUUUUGCGCGAGUGUUUGGGUGUAAAACCCGCACGCGUAAUGAAAGUGAACGUAGGUGAGAGCUUCGGCGCAUCAUCGACCGAUCCUGAUGUUUUCGGAUGGAUUUGAGUACGAGCGUUAAGCCUUGGACCCGAAAGAUGGUGAACUAUGCUUGGAUAGGGUGAAGCCACAGGAAACUCUGGGGGAGGAUCCCAGCGUUUCUGA